UUUCCUGUUUCUGUUUUUGUUUGGUGUGGCGUUAACCUCCUUUCUGCUCCGCCCCCACGCUGCCGACUAACCAACAGGACGAUGAGGAGGGCAUCUGGGCUUAGCCAAUCCCAUGCCUCCUCUCGCUCCCUCCCCUCUUCGCCAUUUUGUACACAAGGAUUAUCCCGCCCCUCCUGGAACUCAAUCAGAACCGCAGCAAGCUGAAGCUCUACAUCGGUCACCUGACCUCUCUGUGUCAGGAGCGGGGACCCAAUCAUACUCCGGGACUUUGUCCCGCCCCUCGCCUAUCAGCGCUCUGACCCGCCUCCUGGGAGGCUCAGCUGCACAGGAGGACCCCACAACAGUUGGAGGAGGAGUCAGAGCUGUGUGAGAGGGAGGGGGCGGAGCUACAGGAGUAUGCAAAUCAGGUCCUGCAGCAAAUCGCGGACCGAUGCCCCGACAUUCUGGAACAAGUCGUCAAUGCCCUGGAGGAGACCUGCUGAUACACACACACACACACACACACACACUACACACACACACACACACACACACACACACACCACACACACACACACAGACACACAGACACAGACCACAGACACAGACACACACACACACACACACACACAGACACAGACACAGACACAGACACACACACACACACACACACACACACACACACACACAAGAGAUAGAUCGACAGACGCAGAGACAACUGAAUUACGAUUGACCUGAAUACACGUAAUGAGCUAAUGGAGCUUAUUCAUCUGGCAGCCAUCUUGGUUCCAAACGCUAGCUGUGGGCAGGUUAUAGAACCAAUAUGGCCGCCGGGGGACUAAGGCCUAAUCCACACACAGACUCGGUCACCCCCUGUUCCCGCUGUUCCCUUAAUACUCGGACCCCCGUGCAGUAUGAAGUAGGAGCCAGACUUCGCGCCGCUCUCUCUGGAUGUGGUUUGUGUUUGCGUGUGAGCAGGAGAUUGAUUCGUGGUUUUUUUUCGUGUGUAAAUGAUCGUUACUGACGUUGAAAGACUUGUCCGUGGAAGCUCUGACUUAGUGCAGUUAGAAGUCAAUGUGCCGUGAUAAACCUACACUUUGUACCAUUACGUGCUUUCUGGGUCGUUAAAAGAAAGCCUGUAAAAUUUGGGCUUUAGAAAAAACUCUAAAGUGA